rfam:Eucalyptus grandis cultivar BRASTZ1 unplaced genomic scaffold scaffold_4, whole genome shotgun sequence.
CCGUGAGAGGGAUGAUGUACUACUAUAGGGCUCUUGAGAUGCUUUCGGAUCUAGACUCUGCUCCAGAGACGGACAUAAGUACGG